rnacentral:rRNA from 1 species
AGAGUUUGAUCCUGGCUCAGGAUGAACGCUGGCGGCGUGCUUAACACAUGCAAGUCGAACGAACCUUCGGGUUAGUGGCGGACGGGUGAGUAACGCGUGAGAAUCUGCCCUCAGGAGGGGGAUAACGGUUGGAAACGACCGCUAAUACCCCAUAUGCCUACUGGUGAAAUGAAUUUUGCCUGAGGAUGAGCUCGCGUCUGAUUAGCUAGUUGGUGAGGUAAUGGCUCACCAAGGCUUCGAUCAGUAGCUGGUCUGAGAGGAUGAUCAGCCACACUGGGACUGAGACACGGCCCAGACUCCUACGGGAGGCAGCAGUGGGGAAUUUUCCGCAAUGGGCGAAAGCCUGACGGAGCAACGCCGCGUGAGGGACGAAGGCCUCUGGGCUGUAAACCUCUUUUCUCAAGGAAGAAGAUAUGACGGUACUUGAGGAAUAAGCCACGGCUAAUUCCGUGCCAGCAGCCGCGGUAAUACGGGAGUGGCAAGCGUUAUCCGGAAUUAUUGGGCGUAAAGCGUCCGCAGGCGGCUUUUCAAGUCUGCUGUUAAAGCGUGGAGCUUAACUCCAUCAUGGCAGUGGAAACUGAAAGGCUUGAGUAUGGUAGGGGCAGAGGGAAUUCCCGGUGUAGCGGUGAAAUGCGUAGAUAUCGGGAAGAACACCAGUGGCGAAGGCGCUCUGCUGGGCCAUUACUGACGCUCAUGGACGAAAGCCAGGGGAGCGAAAGGGAUUAGAUACCCCUGUAGUCCUGGCCGUAAACGAUGAACACUAGGUGUCGGGGGAAUCGACCCCUUCGGUGUCGUAGCUAACGCGUUAAGUGUUCCGCCUGGGGAGUACGCACGCAAGUGUGAAACUCAAAGGAAUUGACGGGGGCCCGCACAAGCGGUGGAGUAUGUGGUUUAAUUCGAUGCAACGCGAAGAACCUUACCAGGGUUUGACAUCCUGCGAACCUCUUAGAAAUUUGAGGGUGCCUUCGGGAAUGCAGUGACAGGUGGUGCAUGGCUGUCGUCAGCUCGUGUCGUGAGAUGUUGGGUUAAGUCCCGCAACGAGCGCAACCCACGUUUUUAGUUGCCAGCAUUUAGUUGGGCACUCUAGAAAGACCGCCGGUGAUAAACCGGAGGAAGGUGUGGAUGACGUCAAGUCAUCAUGCCCCUUACACCCUGGGCUACACACGUACUACAAUGCUACGGACAAAGGGCAGCAAACUCGCGAGAGCUAGCAAAUCCCAUAAACCGUGGCUCAGUUCAGAUCGUAGGCUGCAACUCGCCUACGUGAAGUAGGAAUCGCUAGUAAUCGCAGGUCAGCAUACUGCGGUGAAUACGUUCCCGGGCCUUGUACACACCGCCCGUCACACCAUGGAAGUUGGCCAUGCCCGAAGUCGUUACUCCAACCCUUGUGGAGGAGGACGCCGAAGGUGGGGCUAAUGACUGGGGUGAAGUCGUAACAAGGUAGCCGUACCGGAAGGUGCGGCUG